CAGUCGCCGCGGUAAUACGUAGGUGGCAAGCGUUGUCCGGAAUUAUUGGGCGUAAAGGGCUCGCAGGCGGUUUCUUAAGUCUGAUGUGAAAGCCCCCGGCUCAACCGGGGAGGGUCAUUGGAAACCGGGAAACUUGAGUGCAGAAGAGGAGAGUGGAAUUCCACGUGUAGCGGUGAAAUGCGUAGAGAUGUGGAGGUACACCAGUGGCGAAGGCGACUCUCUGGUCUGUAACUGACGCUGAGGAGCGAAAGCGUGGGGAGCGAACAGGAUUAGAUACCCCUGUAGUCCCUGUCUCUUAUAC
rnacentral:rRNA from 1 species